UUUACUUGAUUUUGGUUAUCAAGACUACUUUGGUUGGAAAAAAUUAGCACUUCCCCAACGAUUUUGUUUUGUUUUCUAAUUAAUUUCUCUUGUCUUCCCAAGAAAUCAAAAUAUGUGGGACUCCACAAGAAGACUGCAGUGAAUUUGCAACAUGUACUGACACAGGACCAGGAACUUUUACCUGUACCUGUAACGAAGGAUAUACUGGAUAUGGGAAAACUUGUGAAGGUGAGACAAUUUACUUUUUCAAACCCCCCAAAACCCAUUUGCCACAUUUUCCCAUUGUUUAAUUUAACUUAUUUUCUGCAUCAACUACGCAGUGUUAAUUGUUCCUCUUCUCUUUUAUAGAAAUCAAAAUAUGUGGAACUCCACAAGAAGACUGCAGUGAAUUUGCAACAUGUGCUGACACAGGAC
rnacentral:lncRNA from 1 species